GUUAGUCUGUUGUUGAAGAUGGGAGGGACAGAGAUGAUAACAGGUUAGUCUGUUGUUGAAGAUGGGAGGGACAGAGAUGAUAACAGGUUAGUCUGUUGUUGAAGAUGGGAGGGGACAGAGAUGAUAACAGGUUAGUCUGUUGUUGAAGAUGGGAGGGACAGAGAUGAUAACAGGUUAGUCUGUUGUUGAAGAUGGGAGGGGACAGAGAUGAUAACAGGUUAGUCUGUUGUUGAAGAUGGGAGGGGACAGAGAUGAUAACAGGUUAGUCUGUUGUUGAAGAUGGGAGGGACAGAGAUGAUAACAGGUUAGUCUGUUGUUGAAGAUGGGAGGGACAGAGAUGAUAACAGGUUAGUCUGUUGUUGAAGAUGGGAGGGGACAGAGAUGAUAACAGGUUAGUCUGUUGUUGAAGAUGGGAGGGACAGAGAUGAUAACAGGUUAGUCUGUUGUUGAAGAUGGGAGGGACAGAGAUGAUAACAGGUUAGUCUGUUGUUGAAGAUGGGAGGGACAGAGAUGAUAACAGGUUAGUCUGUUGUUGAAGAUGGGAGGGACAGAGAUGAUAACAGGUUAGUCUGUUGUUGAAGAUGGGAGGGACAGAGAUGAUAACAGGUUAGUCUGUUGUUGAAGAUGGGAGGGACAGAGAUGAUAACAGGUUAGUCUGUUGUUGAAGAUGGGAGGGACAGAGAUGAUAACAGGUUAGUCUGUUGUUGAAGAUGGGAGGGACAGAGAUGAUAACAGGUUAGUCUGUUGUUGAAGAUGGGAGGGACAGAGAUGAUAACAGGUUAGUCUGUUGUUGAAGAUGGGAGGGACAGAGAUGAUAACAGGUUAGUCUGUUGUUGAAGAUGGGAGGGGACAGAGAUGAUAACAGGUUAGUCUGUUGUUGAAGAUGGGAGGGACAGAGAUGAUAACAGGUUAGUCUGUUGUUGAAGAUGGGAGGGACAGAGAUGAUAACAGGUUAGUCUGUUGUUGAAGAUGGGAGGGACAGAGAUGAUAACAGGUUAGUCUGUUGUUGAAGAUGGGAGGGGACAGAGAUGAUAACAGGUUAGUCUGUUGUUGAAGAUGGGAGGGACAGAGAUGAUAACAGGUUAGUCUGUUGUUGAAGAUG